UAUACUGUGAAACUGCGAAUGGCUCAUUAAAUCAGUUAUCGUUUAUUUGAUAGUACCUUACUACAUGGAUAACCGUGGUAAUUCUAGAGCUAAUACAUGCUAAAAACCUCGACUUCGGAAGGGGUGUAUUUAUUAGAUAAAAAACCAAUGCCCUUCGGGGCUCCUUGGUGAUUCAUAAUAACUUAACGAAUCGCAUGGCCUUGCGCCGGCGAUGGUUCAUUCAAAUUUCUGCCCUAUCAACUUUCGAUGGUAGAGUAGUGGUCUACCAUGGUUUCAAUCUAUUCCGGAGAAGGAGCCUGAGAAACUACUACAUCCAAGGAAGGCAGCAGGCGCGCAAAUUACCCAAUCCCGACACGGGGAGGUAGUGACAAUAAAUACUGAUACAGGGCUCUUUUGGGUCUUGUAAUUGGAAUGAGUACAAUUUAAAUCUAACGAGGAACAAUUGGAGGGCAAGUCUGGUGCCAGCAGCCGCGGUAAUUCCAGCUCCAAUAGCGUAUAUUAAAGUUGUUGCAGUUAAAAUGCUCGUAGUUGAACUUCGGGAGUGGCCGCCCGGUCCGCCUCACCGCGUGCACUGGCGCGGCUGCUCCUCUCCUCCUGGGAGACACGAUGCCCUUCACUGGGUGUCGCUGAAAGCCAGGACUUUUACUUUGAAAAAAUUAGAGUGUUCAAAGCAGGCAUAUGCUCGAAUACAUUAGCAUGGAAUAAUAGAAUAGGACGUGUGGUUCUAUUUUGUUGGUUUCUAGGACCGCCGUAAUGAUUAAUAGGGCCAGUUAGGGGUGUCAGUAUUUUCUAAUAAGAGGUGAAAUUCUUGGAUCUAGAAAAGACUAACUACUGCGAAAGCAUUCAUCAGGGAUGGUUUCAUUAAUCAGUGAACGAAAGUUAGGGGAUCGAAGACGUACCGUCGUAGUCUUAACCAUAAACUAUGCCGACUAGGGAUCAGUUGAUGUUAUCUUUUUGACUCAAUUGGCACCUUACGAGAAAUCAAAGUCUUUGGGUUCUGGGGGGUCGCAAGGCUGAAACUUAAAGAAAUUGACGGAAG
rnacentral:rRNA from 1 species